CCUAUCAAGUGGAACACCAUCCAUCACGUGGUGGUCGCGCUGGGUUCCAAGACAAAUAGGACACCAGGAGCAGAUGCUACGGCUGGGACCGCUGGCCUGGGCUGAGCUGAGCUUUCUGCUUUUCCUGGGAGACGGAGAGGAGCCCAAUUCACUUUCUGUAUGGUCCUGUCCUUCAUUCCAGUUUAUAAGGGUGAAUGAGGCAAGGAGUACCAUCAAUUAUAGUGUCCUUGAGGAUGGGGAACUUCAUCUUUUUCAUGUUAUACAAAGUCCUGUCUGAACGGCAAGAAAAGAGCCAAGCUUCCAACCAAGAGAGAAGGAGCAGAGGACUGGUCUCCUUUUUUUGAUUUCAGGAAGUCACUGAAGUCUUGUGUGGCCCCAUAUGGCGACCCCUCCUCCCCGAGCCUGCCCUGGUACCUAUACUCCCAGCCCUUUCAAUCACUUUUUUAUAUUAAGGUAUUAUGUCCAAGAGGAUUGUACUACCGUGCACGUUCCCGUCCCAGUGUGAUGGUUCACUAUCUGAGCACAAAAUGGGUGUUCAACAUCUGUUUGUUGGAUGGAUAAAUUCAAGAGGAGAUGCAUGGUAACACAAGGUAGGUAAGCUUGGCUGGAAGGAGAGAAAGAGGGGGAAAGGGCUGAGGGCUGAGGUUGUGAAAGAAACGUUAGAGCAGGAGGGUCUGCUUUGGGAAAUAGGAGACCGGACUAAGAGAUCCGAAAUGAAGGGGAGUGGUAUUAGAGGAAAGGGAGGAGGUCCUGAAGUCAAUAUCCACUUCCUUCCCCAUUUUUCCCAGGACCAGCCCUGGCUCUGGUUGAUUUUUAAACAAAGUACGUUGACAGCAAUAAAUAUCAAAGGCUGUCUGUACCCUAAUGAAAACAGGAGGCAAGGAGGAAAAGUUAGUUGGUUGUGAUUCACCACAGCUCAUAAAUAAUCCCACAGGCCCUACUUCUGGCCCUCUGCCAUUCCUGGGGCCAGGGAACUGAGGAGCCACGGAAUCUUUCUGACUGCUGAUUUAAUUAAGUGUGGCUCGUCUGUGACGGCGCCCAGCUCGGCUCAAAGCCAAAGGAACAGGUGAAUUGGCCGUGUCAUUGAUGGGCAGGUCAGGCUUCUUGUUCGACCAAAUCAACCAGUCAUUCGGGAGAUCUGAAGACUUCUGGACAGCAGUUGACUCUGCCACAGUGUUGGAAAACAUCGGUGAUUUGGUUAAAACCUAUCACGAUAGUGACAAACAUACUGCUCAAGUGGGUCCAUGUGACAGUCUGUAGCUGCCACUUCAGUGAAACCAAGUUUUGACAUUAUAUAGUCAAAGCCAUGUUUGAUUGACUGAUUUUUUUUUUUUUUUCUUUCACCUGGUCGUUGUGGACGUAAAGCUGACACAGCAGAGGGGGCAGUGUGGAGACAGUUGGCAUGUUUCCUUCAUGUAGUUUUCACCUUUACCAUCUGGAACUCGGGAAAGAUGUCUUUCCUUCCACCAGCACCACCCACCUUCUCCGCACGGAGGUCUACACCACGUUUACCCAGACAUCAGGAGCAGCUGUCUCAGGCAGAAGGCGGUGGGCUCCAGGUGGGCGCUCAGCGCGAGGGCAGGUGAGAUAAUGAGCAACAGUAAAGGCCUUUUCAGGGAGGUGGGAGUCUAUCGGAGGGGUGAGUCAGCUGGCAUAUGCCAAGCCUUACGUGGCUCGAAACAUUUGUUCUUCUGUGUGGCCUGUUUCUCAGUGCGGGACCAGAUCUGCUCUUCCUUCUCUCCCCUUUUCCUGACUUCUUUUCUGUGCAUGACACUAUGUUUGAUGUCAUAGGAGAGUCAGAGACGGUGCAGCUAUAACCCCCCACCCUCAAGGACCUGGUCACCCUCUACUUGAGAAGGCAGGCAGGUUUGAAAGUAACCACACUGCAAAUAAUAAUAAUAAUAAUAAUAAUAAUAACAACAAUAAUAAUAAGGAGGAGGAGGAGGAGGAGACAUAAGCCAGAAGAGAUUAAGGGUUUGGGAAUUCAAGAGAAGGAGAGUGGAUGUUCCCUUGGGCUUCAUGGAGGAAGUAAGUAGCAUACAUGAGCCGGGAAAGGUAGGUGAGAUUCAGACUGAUACGAUGUCCAGGGCAGUAGGGGAAUCUGGCAAAUUACAUGCAAGGAGAAAGAAAAGAACAAAGAUGUAAAUGAGGAAAACAGGGCUGCAUGGUUGAAGUGGCCAAAGAUCCUUCCAGAGAGAAGAUUCAAACCAAAGAGUAAGUAGGAAUAACAUUUUGCCCUGAUGAAAGCGGGUCGGAGCACAAAUGGCAUUCAUUGGAUGUCAGCUUUCGGAGGUUGGACAUAUUUAGGACGUCUGCUGGGAGCCAUUGAGGAUUUAUGAGCAGGUUAAUGGUAUUGGAACUAAUCUUUAGGAAAAAUAAUCUGGCAUCAGUUGUGUGGUAGUAUGGAAGAAGGGGAGACAAGCCCUAGAGAUGGAAGUUCAUCCAAUGUGAGACAGUCCAAGAGACUGGAAACAUGGCGAGGGUCAGCAGUCUGGGACUUUGAUGUUUGGUUGAGCCGACAGGAGGAAGGAGGCCAAUCCUACCGACCUCCCCUUGAUCUGCCUCCGCCUGUGGCACAGACGUGGUGGAGAGUCCCACGUGGCCUCAAACUCACUUUGCGCUCUGCCUGCACCUCACCUCAAAGCCUCCUCGUGCUUCAUUCCAUUUGCACCCCAACGCCUUCUCUGGAACCUAGAAGCUCCCCGCCCACUCCACGUCUCAGGCUCCGCUUUGGGGCUACUGUGAGACAGACAUAGCCCGGGUGAGGUGGGCAGUGGGCGUUCAGGUGGAGCUUUUCCUAAGACCAAUGUAAAUGUGACUCCAGAAUUUUAGACUGAUAGGGGAAAAGAAGGAACAGAGGUAAUUUGAUGGUCUGAGGCAAGAAGGGAGGGAGGAGAUGUCUUAGUGUAGAAGAGAUGUAGAGGGGAUGCAUCCCGGGUAGAGGGAAUUGAGCCCGUGGAAAGGAACAUAUUAAAGAUGCAAGAGAAAGGGAGUCAUAUGUGAAGAAGGACUCAGAAGAGAAGGAGGGAUCGAGACCACAAGUGGGGUCCAGGGAGUCUGGCUUUAAUGAGGAUUAAUUCAUCCAGCCAUUCAACAGGCAUGGAUUCGGUCCUUCUGUGAGCCCAGGCUUCGCACUAGGACCCUUGGCACAAAGAGGCGGGCGAGGCACAGCCACUCCCCUCUAGGAGGGAGGAGGGGGAAACAACCAUCCCCGGAAACGGGCUAGCUUCCAGAAUGGAAACAUUUGUGGCGGAAAAGGAAGAAAUGCUCCUGCUUCAAAUAGCGCCUCUGAUGGCUUCCCCACAGCGGGGCCGAGAGGGGCUUACCUCUUGGAGGCUCACUCUCCUCCUCUUUCACCACUACCCCACUAGGCUGUGACAGCAAACCACGCAGGAAGGUGCUGUGUGGCACCACCGAUCCCAGCAACGAGACGAGCGCGUACCGUGCCUUGCAAGCUUAGCUUUCUUUCUUCCCUGGGGCAAAGCACAACAGUACUAUAGAGGAUGACACAUUUAACUCUGUCCCGAGCACCAAGUAAAGCUGUUGAGAGAGAAACUUAGAGCUGAGGUAGGGGAAAGGGAGAAGGUGGUGAAGAUUCAGGAAUAAUUGGCGUUAAGAACAGGGCAAUGAGGAAGAUAGAUCUGAUGGCUCUGGUCUUCUAAUGAACAGAAAGCAAGGUUGUCUUUUGAGGCGGUAUGGCCUGAACCGUGCCCGCCCCCCAUUCAUAUGUUGACGUCCUAACCCCAGUAUUCUGUAAUGUGACUAUUUGGUGAUAAGGCCUUGAAAGAGGUGCCUAAGGUAGAACGAGAUCAUACGAGUGGACCUUAAGCUGACUAUGUCCCUGUAAGGAGAAGAGGUUAGAUCACAGACACCCUGGAAUAAGACGGCCAUGUCCAAGCCAAGGGAAGUGGUCUUCGAAGAAACCAACCCUGCUGUCACCUUGAUCUUGGGCUUCUAGUCUCCUGAACGAGGAGGAAUAAUACAUUUCUGUGGUCGAAGCCACCUCGCCUGUGGAAUUUGUUACAACAGCUUUCACAGAUUCACACAUUAGGGGUAAGGGGACAGCAACGGACUGGAGAGAAUGAGAAUGUUUUGGAAGAACCAUAAUGGGAAAGUCUAUUAAAUCUGAGUAAAUGGGCUCCUGAAGAGAAUAUGGUCCAUCUAACUAGGGAUGAAUCCAUGAUUUUUUUUUUUUUUUUUUUUUUUUUACCUCCAGCAAUAUUUGGGAAGACAGCACAGAAAACUGGGCUGUGUUUGGGCUUGGCAGCAAGAGACCUCUGAGGCGGGACAGUGGGGACUUCCGGAGUGACAGUGAGCAGGUGAAAUGGCUGCCCAGGUAGGCACAUGAGGCUGGUGAGAACACACAAACUAAGAGGUUAAGGAAGAUUCUAGAAUGGGAGAAGACUUGGGUAAUUAUGGGGGAGGGAGUGGGAGGUAGAAGAGGGCAGAGUUGUGCUCGCAGAAUGGCAGUCAGCUUGGGGGGGGGUGCUCAUGGUUUAAACACAGUGGACAGAGUUUUGUCAUAUCAUGUGAGGUCUGAGUCGGACUGAACAGUGGUCAAGUACAACAUGGAGAGUUAGGUUAAGGAUGUUUUUUGCAGCUUCCAGGGGUCCAUGUUUCAACAGCAAGGUUCUGAAAAGUGGAAGUCCCGGCUUGCGGACCCUUCUUGUCUGCUAUGGAGGGGCAUAUCCCCUUUAUAAGGAUGGAUAUGAGAGGCCUUGCAUCCUUCCCUAAAAUGAUUAUGCUCUGGUGGAGCUGGAACCUGGGCGUCCUAAUUCCCAGUUCAGGGCUUUCCACAACCUGCUCACGUUAGCAAGUGCGUGGUGGCGAGGGCACCGGUGUCCUCCUUCCACAGAGGACAUGGGUUAAGAGUCAUUUUCCCAACACCUCACCAGGAUGUAGCCUUGCAGCCUGUGGAUUAGCAGGACCCGGCGACCAGAAGGAGCCAGCUGAGGGUACAGGCCACGUGAUAGGGUUCCCUCUUAGACUCUCCCAUUCUAGGGUCCUGGAACUAAGGCCACAAAUCAUCCCUAUGUGCUUGGAGAAGAAUGGGAAGUAACUGGAAUGACAUACGUCAGAAUGUCAUUGGCCUUGCCAAUAUUUUUUUUAAGUUUAUUUACUUAUUUUGAGACAGAGAGAGAGAGCAAGCGAGCCAGUGACGGAGGGGCAGAGAGAGAGAGAGAGAGGGAGAGAGGGAGGGAGAAUCCCAAGCAGUCUCCAUCCACACUGUCAGCACAGAGCACCAUGCAGGGCUCCUUCCCACCAACAAUGAGAUCACGACCUGAGUGGAAAUCAAGAGUUGGGCACUUAACCAACAGAGUCACCCACGUGCCUCUGGCCUUGCCCAUUUUCUGCCUGAUCUCUGCUUGGGUGAUUUACUUUUUUUCUUUAAAUGCUUAUUUAUUCUUGAGAGAGAGAGAGAGAGACAGAGACAGAGACAGAGACAGAGACAGAGUGCAAGCAGGGGAGGGGCAGAGAGAGAGGGAGACACAGGAUCCUAGUAGGCCCCAGGCUCUGGGCUGUCAGCGCAGAACCUGACGUGGGGCUCAAACUCACAAACCAUGAAUCAUGACCUGAGCCAAAGUCGGACGCUUAACCGACUGAGCCACCCACGCAUCCCUGCUUAGGUGAUUUUCUAAACCAUUCUUAAAGAUAUUCAUAGAUUCCAGUUACUCUUGGAACAAGCAGUCAUGCCCCACACCUAGCACAGAGCCCGGCACCAAGUAGGCACUCAGACGUUUGCUGAGUGCUCAUAAAUCGUCCCACCCAGAGGCUCUUAUACUCUCAUGCCCUGCCACCCGUGUGUUCCUUACAGUGUGCUUGGCUGUUGGUUUCUAUGCCCUCGUCGCAGUGAGGCGCACUGCGAGUACUUUGUGACCAAUCAUACGGCAUCAAGUCCAAGAAGCUUUUAUUUGAGAAAGAGAGAAGAUCUGAAAGAGAGCUUAGCUUAUAAUGUCUCUUGCACCGCACCCGGCAUUUCCGUUUGCUCUUAGCGGGAAAGCCACGGGCAGAGUCACAGCAGGAUUGCAGGGCGGGCGCACGACCUCUGUAGAGGCAGUGGGGGCUGUCUGGGGUAUGUAGCUUUUGUCCAAGUGUCCUGACGUAGUCAGGGGGCGGGGUGGAAACAAGCAUGAGCCUUGCCGCUGAAACAUUCAUUCCUCAACGUGGGGUGGAUGGCCAGCUCUCCAGCUUUCCCCUUGCCAGGCCGGAUAUGCACAGAUCUGCCCAGGGGACUGGAUGUUUAGCACGCUCCUGAAGAACAUUUUAAUUGUCUGAGUGGGUCUCUGAGGACCUGCCCCCAUUAGCAUGAGAGUGAUUCCUGAAAGUUGCCCAAACAUAGCUGUGUCCUAACAACAGGGCGCCGGUGACCUCUGAGCCUCGUCUCUCUCCAUAGCCUUGGCUAUUUCAAAGAGAUCAUUAACAAGGUGGAAUUGGGUGCCCCCAGGGUCACUGCACAAUAUACAUUGUUACUGUCUUUUAAUGGACUUUCCCCAGACACGGUGAUUCUUAAACUGCAGCGUCGGCAGCUGCUAACGCCAGGCUGAGCCACGCUGUCUGCAAGGAGAGAGCCGGCCUGCCAGUCCCGCCAGAGCAGAUCUGAGCUUGGGCAGAUGGAUCGGGCUGAGAGAAAGGAGGAGGGGACGUGGGCUUAAGGGGAGGGGGCACCAGCGGAGAAGCCUGGCAGCCCUCGGAGGUCUUUGUUAUUGAUUUAGCGUGAGGACUGAAAGUGGCAGGCAGGCAGGUGGCAGGGGCUGGCGGGCAGGGAAGACAGGUGUAGGCGGUCGUGGGCAGUGAUUAGCCGGGGUGUUCCAGAUGUGGCUGGGGGUGUCAGCUGGUGGUGACUAACGUGGGUGCUUCUGAGGGGCGUGGCGUCAGAUGGUGGUUUCAGAAUGCAGAUGCGAGCGUUCGGGCCCCCCCCCUCGCUGCUUCCACACCGCUUCACACGAGUUCUACUCUCCCGAGCAUGCGCGUUCAACUUCAUCUUUACUUCCGCGUCGCGACUACCCCCUUCCCUACAUUCGUCUCUAGGCCAAGGGCAGGAAUACGCAGAUUACUCUCCCCCAGCCUUCAGCCUUCAGCCUUCACCCAAUUUUGGGGAUGAUCACACGGACCGAGCGCCCUCGAUCAUGUACGAGCAAGUACAAUCAAGUACGAUCAUGCGCGUUCACGUGAGAAACAUACCUGGUGGCAGAGGACGUUCAUAGUCCACGGUCUUCUUUGCCUGCUUCCUUUUUGAAAACCUGCCUCCGAUUUUUAUGAAAAGAUUUUUAUCGAAGUAGAAUAUACACAAAAAGUAAACAUAGUAGUACCACUCCCACCGGAUCAAGAAACAGAUAAUUCACAGCACUCCAAAAGCUUUUCUUAGUCUGUUCCAGUCACACUAACUCUGUUCCGGCCUUCUUCUCCAAAAGUGGCCACUUGCCUUCAGUCACCACAGAUUCGUUUUGGCUGUUUCGGAAUUAAAAAAAUUUUUGUUAAUAUUUAUUUAUUUUUGAGAAGAGAGAGACAGAGCAUGAGCAGGGGAGGAGAGAGAAAGAGGGAGACACAGAAUCCGAAACAGGCUCCGGGCUCUGAGCUGUCAGCACAGAGCCCGACGCGGGACUUGAACUCACGGACCGUGAGAUCAUGACCUGAGCUGAAGUCAGAUGCUCAACUGACUGAGCCACCCAGGCGCCCCAUGUUUCGGAAUUUUAUAUGAAUGGACCCAGACACAAUGCAUUAUGGUCUAGCCAGCUCUUUUUGCUCAAUGUUUGUAUGCAGUGUUUGUUCUUUUUCAUUGCUGUAUACUGUUCCACCAUCUGAGUCAUUCACAAUUAUCUGUUCCACUAUUGAGAAACAUUUGGAUUAUUUAUGGAUUUGGGUUACGAUGAAUAAUGAUGUCCUGAUCAUUUUAACAGGUGUUUCGUUCUAUAUAUGCAUCCAUUUCUGUAUAUUUGGGAAUGGAGUUGUUAGAAUCGUAGGGUAUGGGUAUGCUCAGCUGUAGUAAGAACUGUUUAGUAGAAAGGAUUUUGCAAAACCAUGUGCCAUGCCUUGGCCUGGAUGUUAUGGCACCAGCCCCCCUCCACACCACAGGGGCCCAGGAGCUCACCACAAACCAGUCAUCACCCACAACCUCCUGUCUCAGGCAUCUUGUUGGACCACUCAGCCUCUUACCCACUUCGACAUGUGGCUCUCCCUAUUCAUCUACUCUUGCGUCCUGACCUUUAUGAACUCUGGCUCCCUAUGACCAUUUCAGGCCUUCCUUGCUUCAAUGACCCCUUUGUAUCUGCUUCUGUGACUCACCGACCAAUUAAACUCUUGACUACACUCCAUCCCCAAUCACAGAGUUCUGGUGUGGCCUCCACAGAGCUCAUUCAGGCCAGCCCCAGCUCCUGGCCUGUGUGUUAAGAGUGGGUAGAGCGAUCGGAAGUAGAGCUUUGCCAUCCCAAGAAGAGAAGCAAGUGAACUGUAAGACAGGCAGAUCAAUGAAAUUGGCUUUUUUCAUUAUUAAUGGGCCCAAUUUGUCCUGGGUUAGUGGCUAUUUACAAAAUUUCAAGAUGCCCAGCCCUUUGAACUUCCCUGUGUCCCGACUAGACUUCCUUGCUAUGGUGAAUGUGUGUGCGUGUGCACGCGUGCGUGUGUGCACGGGCAUGUGUGUGAUGUGUCUCUUUCUCCCAGCGUCUGUGACUUGCAUGUCUGCAAGCAAGUGCUUGCACCCAGAAGGAGGGUGUGAUGAAACGCUGUCACGUGGCUAGCCGCGGGCAGUGAGUCAACGAGCUCCCCCACAGCCACCUCACUUGAGCGGAGGGAACAGGAACCACCACACUUGGCAACUUGGGCUGUGUCCACAUGGUUGGAAACAAUCUGUGAAGUGAGUCAGAUCCAUUGAGAAAACAAUUAAGUCAGUGGGAAAAGAAAAUCAGUAGGCCGGGUUAUUUGGCAUGGUGAAAGAAAGCAGCCCAUUGUUUGUUCACAUUUGUCCCUUUCCAGCUGGUCAUUGUGACACUAGCUGAUGCUGGGCUUGCCUACACAAGUGCUUUUAACAGUUUGACCCAGACUCUGUCUACACAGCUCUAAAACCACCCAGCGAGCUUGUCCAGAGUCAAAGAAUCAACUAUCUGCCUCACUAGUAAUUCUGUCCUGAGGACUGUUUUAUGGGGAUCCCACUGAAAAUCAUGGCAGACAUUUUGGGGCAAGAUAGGACUUUGGGGCUACUCCACCACUUCUGGUGAGUUCCAUGUCUGAGGACUGAGUAGCUUCAGGCAGCUCUAGAUAAUAUCUGGUCACUGGUAUGGGAGGCAGGGAUAGGGGUCAGAUGAAGUUCAAAACUGUGAAAUCCAGAGAUAAUCCCCCCAAAUCAUGCUGACCACCUGUUUUGUUUUCGCUUAGGAUUGUUGGGUGAGUGACCCCAGAAGAGACAAACUUCUAAUUCCGGCCUCUUGGAGAUCAUUAUCCCAACUCCCAGAUUUUUUUUAAGCUUUAUUUUUUUUUUAAUGUUUAUUUAUUUUGAGAAAGAGAGGGCACAUGCAAGUGGGGGAGAGGGGCAGAGAGAGAGAGGGAGAGACAGAAUCCCAAGCAGGCUCCAUGCUCAGUGCAUAGCCUGACACGGGGCUCGAUCCCACGACCGUGAGAUCAUGACCUGAACCGACAUCACGAGUCGGACGCUUAACCGACUGAGCCACCCGGGCAUCCCCCAACUCCCAGAACUUAAAGAGGAGAAAAGGGAGGCCCAGGGAGAUACACAUACACAGGGCUACACAGGUAAAAAGUGAGUGUUCACUUGGCUAAAUUUAAUUGCACCUGGCUGUCUCCAGUUAAGGUGCUAAUGAACCAGGAGACGCACAUACAACAUAGCAACUUGUAAUGGACAUGUUGAAAAGGAAUGGGUUAUGAAGUAGAAUUCUCUCUUAAGAACUAGGGAGCUUCUCUGAGUCCUUUUUUGGGCACCUGUCCUGUAUCCAGCUGCUAGUUACCUGCAAGAACUCUCAUCAAUCUCCAAAGAACAGCGGUGUCCAAAAGUUGGGGAAUGUGUAUGAUGUGGCUUUGGCUGGAGCAUAUUUAUGACCUGGAGUGUGCUCUAAUUGUGCAGAUAUUCCCAUAAAUGUUAUUUUAUUAAGUUGAGCUACAGUAAAUCUGUCAUCUCCAUAAGUAACACCACAGUGAAUCUGUAGGUAAGCUCAGAAUACUGCCGUGAGCCAUGCUGGGCUAUUAGCUUCAGUCCAAUGUUGUUAUCUGCGCAGUUAUAGCAUCUCAGGGGCAAAACUCAGGCACUGCGUUUACAAGAUUUGGUUCCUCAUGCAUGCCCUUGGCUCCCAAAGACAACAGAAAUGGCUACAAAAGACGGGGGCGAGAAAACCAGAGAAUGCUGAAUGUUUGCUUCCUCGAG
rnacentral:lncRNA from 1 species